GAGAGAUACUUCUCCACCUCAUCCCAAUUACCACUGUGCACCUCAUCCUCAAAAUACUUCAUGUUAAAGAAAAACCCAGAUUCCUGUUCAAGCUUGUGAACAGUCUCUUUGAACUUUUCCUCAUCAAGGAACUGCAGGAUCAAGAACACAAGCUCUCUACUAAGAGAUGACAUCUUAACAGCCCCGUUUUCGCUUAGAAAUGC
rnacentral:misc_RNA from 1 species